CCUACGGGAGACAGCAGUGAGGAAUAUUGGUCAAUGGACGAAAGCCUGAACCAGCCAAGUCGCGUGCAGGAUGACUGCCCUAUGGGUUGUAAACUUCUUUUAUAUGGGAGUAACAUGCUCUACGUGUAGGAUUUUGCCAGUACCGUAUGAAUAAGGAUCGGCUAACUCCGUGCCAGCAGCCGCGGUAAUACGGAGGGUACGAGCGUUAUCCGGAUUUAUUGGGUUUAAAGGGAGUGUAGGGCGAAUGUUAAGUUUGCUGUGAAAUGUCGGGGCGCAACCCGAGCCUUGCAGUUGAAACUGGCAGGCUUGAGUACAGUAGAGGUAGGCGGAAUUCGUGGUGUAGCGGUGAAAUGCUUAGAUAUAACGAAGAACACCGAUUGCGAAGGCAGCUCACUGGACUGCAACUGACGCUGAGGCUCGAAAGCGUGGGUAGCAAACAGGAUUAGAUACCCCAGUAGUC
rnacentral:rRNA from 1 species